rnacentral:tRNA from 1 species
UCCCUUGUGGUCUAGUGGGUAAGACUCUAUGUUCCCAAUGCAGGGGCCCAGGUGUGAUUCCUGGUUGAGGAA